UGAAAACUACCUCUCCUUGGUCCUUUGGAA
rnacentral:piRNA from 1 species